GUUUAUCUUCAGGGCAGGGUGUAAUUCCCGACCGGCGGUGAUAGUCCGCGACACGUGAUUUUUUCACGCUGAGCUGGUGAAAUUCCAGUGCCGACAGUAAAGUCUGGUAUGUAGAAGAUUAAA
rnacentral:ncRNA from 2 species